GCACUGUUGGUCCAGCGGUAGGAUAUUUGCCUUCCAUCUAGAACUCUUCUAGGGCUAGCAAAUGGCUCGGGUUCGACUCCCGGACAGUGCA